rnacentral:rRNA from 1 species
GAUGAACGCUAGCUACAGGCUUAACACAUGCAAGUCGAGGGGUAACGAGAGGAAAGCUUGCUUUCCUUGUCGACGACCGGCGCACGGGUGAGUAACGCGUAUCCAACCUGCCCCCAACUAAGGAAUAACCUUGCGAAAGUAAGACUAAUACCUUAUAAUUUCCUCAGAUGACAUCUGACGAGGAAUAAAGAUUUAUCGGUUGUGGAUGGGGAUGCGUCUGAUUAGCUUGUUGGCGGGGUAACGGCCCACCAAGGCAACGAUCAGUAGGGGUUCUGAGAGGAAGGUCCCCACAUUGGAACUGGGACACGGUCCAAACUCCUACGGGAGGCAGCAGUGAGGAAUAUUGGUCAAUGGGCGAAAGCCUGAACCAGCCAAGUAGCGUGCAGGAUGACGGCCCUAUGGGUUGUAAACUGCUUUUAUACAGGAAUAAAGUUAGCCACGUGUGGUUAUUUGUAGGUACUGUAUGAAUAAGGACCGGCUAAUUCCGUGCCAGCCGCCGCCGUAA